UUUAAGUGUAACCAUAAGUUUUCGCGCCCAAUUUUGAUCGUCCGUCUUAUUUGAAAUUUUUUUAUAAUUAGUAUUUUUUGUUGUUAUGUGAUGAUAAAACAUGAAUAGUGCUUUACUCGUGACUUAUGUUUUUAAUUUUUUUUCAAAUAAGAUAUUGGUCAAAGUUAGACGCAGAAAACCAUUGCUGCACUUAAA
rfam:Oryza nivara chromosome 4, whole genome shotgun sequence.